GACAGGGUUACUCUGAGUGAUUUCCGUUAAGGAGUUCUUUUGGCACCUCUAAAAAUGGUGCAGAAUAAGGGGUGGGCAAGUCUGGUGUCAGCCGCCGCGGUAAUACCAGCACCCCGAGUGGUCGGGACGUUUAUUGGGCCUAAAGCAUCCGUAGCCGGUUCUACAAGUCUUCCGUUAAAUCCACCUGCUUAACAGAUGGGCUGCGGAAGAUACUAUGGAGCUAGGAGGCGGGAGAGGCAAGCGGUACUCGAUGGGUAGGGGUAAAAUCCGUUGAUCCAUUGAAGACCACCAGUGGCGAAGGCGGCUUGCCAGAACGCGCUCGACGGUGAGGGAUGAAAGCUGGGGGAGCAAACCGGAUUAGAUACCCGGGUAGUCCCAGCUGUAAACGAUGCAGACUCGGUGAUGAGUUGGCUUCAUGCCAACUCAGUGCCGCAGGGAGGCCGUUAAGUUUGCCGCCUGGGGAGUACGGUCGCAAGACUGAAACUUAAAGGAAUUGGCGGGGGAGCACCACAAGGGGUGAAGCCUGCGGUUCAAUUGGAGUCAACGCCGGAAAUCUUACCGGGGGCGACAGCAGAAUGAAGGUCAAGCUGAAGACUUUACCAGACAAGCUGAGAGGAGGUGCAUGGCCGUCGCCAGCUCGUGCCGUGAGGUGUCCUGUUAAGUCAGGUAACGAGCGAGACCCCUGCUUCUAGUUGCUACCAUUAUUCUCAGGAGUAGUGGAGCUAAUUAGAGGGACUGCCGUCGCUGAGACGGAGGAAGGAGGGGGCUACGGCAGGUCAGUAUGCCCCGAAACCCUCGGGCCACACGCGGGCUGCAAUGGUAAGGACAAUGAGUUUCGAUUCCGAAAGGAGGAGGCAAUCUCUAAACCUUACCACAGUUAUGAUUGAGGGCUGAAACUCGCCCUCAUGAAUAUGGAAUCCCUAGUA
rnacentral:rRNA from 1 species